rnacentral:lncRNA from 1 species
CUGUUCUAAACGUUUCACACCAUCGAUGCUGAAACGCAGCUUUUGAUGGUACGUGAACGGGACGGUUAUUCGCGUCGACAGGGGAUGAGAACGCUGGUCGGACCUGUGUCACUUCCGGACCUGGUUGGUGACGUGCACUGGGCUGUAUAUCUGGCAUGCGUCUCCUUUCAGUUGCCAGAGAAUUUGCUUAUUCCGCCGUAUUCCGGAAGCCAAUAUCUAUCUACAUCGGUACCCACUAGGCGCCGUUACUCGUCCACAAGUCUGCAACUGUGGGUCAUGAGGUCAGUGGCAUGCUCUUUGGCUUGUCAUAUGUUGGGUAGACCAACCACACAUGUCGACAGUCUUCAGAAGACAUCGCUUGCGCAAGUAGGCAGUGUCGCAGGACUAGUUGUCACUCUUGCAGUAGGAAGAACCGAAGGGCCUCUCGCUAGUUUAUUUCCGGGAAUGGUCGAACGUGCAUUUUCCAACUGGCGUGGGAAGAAUGUAAGACUAUUUGGUGUCAGUUCCAUUAAUACACUCAGCCACAAUCUUCGUGGAAGUACGCACCCUGACGUGCUGAGGAAAUGCUGCUGACAAAUCACUGCUCUAUUUGCGGGGUUGCUUUUAUGAAAUACGUCCUCAUAUGCAGUAUUCUAGUGUUAGCAUUCUUUCAGAUAACGUCUGUUUGUGUUGGAUCUCACGGUGCAAGCUCCGAGAGCGUACUUACUGAUGAAGAACAUCUCGUACGCAAAUUUUGAUUCAACAAUAGAAUGUUCCUUUCGGUGACUGGAUGUCAGCUACAAAAGCACAACUUCCUUCAACAGGCGCAUGGUGGAAACGGAAGAUCGUUACGAUUUCACGUUGACAUACGUGGAGGCACGUACCAUCCUGAAAGCAGCGAACUAAAUGAAGCAAGCCGGCAAGCUGGCGCGCAAGCGAUAGCAGAAGAUGGGCUUAGACGCUCAUUAUCGUGACCGCUGCUCGACGAUGGCGAAAGCUGAUUUUGUGGUAAACGACGCGGUUAUUUGCAUCUUCACUUCGACACGGUACUGAAAUUGCGUAACCUUCCUUGCUGAGGAACAUCAAAACGCGGCAUCCUGUGAGCUAUCUCCAAUAUUUGUAAACUCAAAUAAGUAUUUUCUCAGGUGACAAGACAAUCUUUGAUUCGUCUGGAUGUCUUCCGACGUCUGCGGUUCCCUGCACAAUUGCUAGUUCAGCUCUGUUGCACUAAUGAGUCACAGAAUGUGAGUUCUUCGUUGUUUUUGGGGAUGCGAUGACGUGGGUGUUUUACGAAGUGUCACGAGUUUGGCAAUGUGGUUGUGUUCUCGGGAACCACACUGACGGCUGAAGGGCACUUGGAAGGAUCUGCGUUUGCCACGGGUACGAGUCGCAAACACCCUUUGUCAGGAGAGAACACCUCAGUGCUUCCGAUGAACUGAAGCGACACGAACAUGAUUCAAACGGAUGAAGCUAGAAGGAUGACUGAUGUGUCGGUCUGGCUAUCUUGGCUGCCUACGCAGAACAGUGUUCGGUGUUGUUCACGGCGUCAGCGCGUUCUGCUGGAAGGACACAGAAGGAUUUCAUUGCUUUGCGCUCGGACCGAUGUCGCACGGUGAACAUGGGAGUGAGUGGAUAUCAUUCUGAUCGUACACUGCAGGCGAUCCGUUGUCUUUGUUGUAUGUCACGGCCAAAACUAGAGUACUUUUUCCCGGUGACUUCUACAAACAAGGAAGCUUUGCGCAGCAAUGAUUCACUCUGAUAUAUCAACGAGAGGGAUGGAUAUACGUACCGACGUGUUGUACGGGCUCCGUGGUUCUCUAUUCUUGUGGCUGUGAUGUCGCACUUCCGAUUGUAGAGAUUGAAGCUGGGGGAUGCAGUGGCAAAAUGUAUACUUCACCGGCAAACAUGCAAACUACCUCGUGUUCAGCUCACGUGUACGAGGACAGAUUGCGUCAUUGUUAUAGUGCGGAUCCUUUCGUCCUUUUAUGACGUGAAAUGCAUAUUCCGUAGCUUCUGCCGCUAAAGAUUGACUGGAACUGUUUCCCUUUAUGUCUUCGUGAAGAUUGUGAGCGGUGACGUGGGCGCAGUGACGUCCCCCUGAUAGAGUCCAGUGACGGACAUGACUGCAUUCUGCAACUACGUCGAGGCACCAGUUGCUCAGGAAUGUUUCUGGGAGUUUGGUGCUGGCCACAAAGACGACAGAACCUGAUUACUGUUGUAGCGCUGGUCGGUGGCACCCCGCCGUGCAAGAGAAAGAGCCCGCUUGCGUGGUAGGACGACUGGGCUGUCACCGUCUUUCAAGUGCGAGCUAACAUUUCGACGCCGAACUACAGGAACAUUGUCUUUUUUGGUCCAGUAGCAAUCGGAUAUAUCACUGACCGGAGAAGCACGAACAUCGUACGGUUCGUCCUGGAAAGGCAGCUGUUGAUGCUGUGCAGGUGCAAUGGCAGGUUCAUGUAGCAAAACAGGAAGAGUUAACAAGAACAGGUACUGGGAUCCGGGUAGUUGACACCGAGCACCGUGAAAAAGGGGCACCCAGCCAUGUACUUGACGCCUCAACGCCAAUAGGUCUCGUUUGAAUUCCUUUUGCCACAUGGCUCAGCAAAUCCCGCCACAAUGAAGGUAUUACUUAGAGAAGCCAUCGAACGGGGGCUUGACUGUGUAUCACUUCGAUCUCCAGAAAAGUGUUUCAGGCUUAAAGGCAUAGCAUCCUGAUCGUAACUGUUGAUUGUGGUACACCAUUUUCUCCCGAGUCGUAACUGUGGUAGCGUCACUGUGGGCAGCCACUUCCACCCUUCCUACGCUGCAAUCAACGGAAACCAUAAUUGUCGGUCUUGCAUUCACACAUUGGCGUUUCUUGCCCCUGUAGCAAGUAAGAGUUUCUUGCUGUAAGAAACAAAUCCAAACCUCAUCAACGUCAAGAUAGGAACAUCGCUGAACCAUAAGAUAAUGCCGUUUCUGCGAUGCAUAGUCGCAUACAUCACAGCGCAUG